rnacentral:rRNA from 1 species
AUGGUACAUGGAGCAGCAGCAUCAGGCGGCGCCGCCUCCGCCGCCGCGCGGGCAAGCAGAGGCGCGCCGGGGACGUGGAGGCGGGUGCGGAGGGCGGCGCGGGAGGCGGCUGCGCACGCGCUGCUGCUCUGCUUCACCACCCUCCUCGCCUUCAAGCUCGACGGCGUUCUCCUCUCCCGCUCCUGGUGGGUGCUUUUCAUUCCUCUGUGGUUAUUCCAUGCUGCCGUUGUUCGGUAUAGAUUCUCAUUGCCUGCUCCUUCGUUGCUUCAAAAUUACCAGCGGAUUCCAUGCCAUUCCAUUGUUGCCACACCCUUGCUAGUUGCUUUUGAACUUCUUCUCUGUAUCUACCUUGAAGGCCAGGGUGAACCUUUUCUAGAUUUAAAGCUUGUUUUCCUUCCACUCCUGGCCUUGGAAAUUAUUAUGUUAGUUGACAAUUUCAGGAUGUUUGGUGCUCUAAUGCCUGGACAUGGGGAAACAAUCACUGAUGAAGAGAUAUGGGAUAGGCUUCCUCACUUCUGGGUUGCAAUUUCCAUGGUGUUUCUACUAGCAGCUACUUCACUCAUGCUUCUCAAGCUAUGCGGUGAUGCAGUUACUCUGGGGUGGUGGGAUUUAUUCAUUAACUUUGGGAUUUCCCAGUGCUUUGCUUUUCUUGUCUGCAUAAGGUGGUCCAAUCCAAUGGAUAUUGGUGGCCCUGUACUGAUAAUUCCUAUCGUAAUUUCUCAAGUUCUCCUAUGUAUGCGCUUAGAGGGUACUCCAUCUUAUGCACGGUUUAUUCCGGUUCGAGCUAUUUUCUCACCUAUAUUUUUGCUCCAAGUGGUUGCUGUACUGUUUGCCGUUUGGAGAUUCUUUGAAAGGCUUGUUAUUAAAUUGCAAGAUGGAGUUGUUAGUGAAGGAUAUAUUUCUGUCUCAUCAAAGAUUGAUGAGUUGUUUAUGAUGGUACAAUAUGGUUCAAGGCUCAUUACGUGGUCUAUUGACGAAGAUAGCAAAGAGGAACAAGCACAUUUAUGCUAUACAAAUAACAUUGGGUAUAGUACAUUUUGCAGUUAUCCCCCCGAGAUGGUAAAAGAGAUGCCGAAAAAAGUUCUUGUCAAAGAGAUACAGAGACUUCAGUUAGCAUUGGGAGAGCAAAGCAAAAUGGCAAUGCUUAGCCAACAGCAGUGUGAGAGGCUGAAGAAUGAACGAAUCUUAUGUCGAAUUUGCUUUGAGAGGUACAUCUGCAUUGUUCUGCUUCCAUGCCGCCAUCAUGUUCUAUGCGAACCUUGCUCUGACAAGUGCCAAUCAUGCCCGAUUUGUCGAGUGCCUAUUGAGACCAAGUUAUCUGUUAAUGAUGCAGUGAAUUCAGACGAUCCAUUAAGUGACAUUGUCUAGAAGCUGACAUGUUGGCCAUAGCAUUAGAACUUCAACUUCUGGUGUCAGCAGCAACACACUGAUUGCCGGCAUAGGAAGAUAAACUAUUCUGGCUUUGAAGUUGAAAGGAAAGCUAGAAUAAGUUGCGGCUCAGAACAGAGGACAUGAAAAUCAAGAGCCGUACCGCGUGCGCAAUCCCUCUUCUCGAGUGACAGUAUUACAGAAAGAAAGUGCGAGCGGUUGAUUCUCUCUCACCCAUAUAUGGCGGCAGCACGAAUAGCCACUUGAACCACUGAAUUUCCUGGCAAAGGCUGCCAGACGUGUUGCACCUGGACAGUUUCUGAGGAAGGGUGGUUCUUAUAUAGAGUAACUUCUUAACAGCUGACAGGGGGGUCACUUCAGCAAAGCCGCCCCGCUCUUUCCAGUGUAGCUAGUUGUUACCCAUCUUUCUUGUGAACAUGCAUUUGCUGCCUAGUACCUUGGUGCACAUAUAUGGAUAGGCACGUCGGCCGCAUCAUGCGCGGGCCUUUCUCCUGCUCGCCGGAAAGAGGAGCUUUGCUGUACGAGAAUGGGCGCGCAAGUCAACAUUUGUGGCCGCGAUCGACCUCUCACCCCUCCCGUCAGGUUGCCAUGAAAUGAUUCGGCAUGUCUUGUGGCCUGCAAUGCUCUUUGCAGAUCGAGGGGCUUUGCUUUGCUAGGUGCAUUGCCCCGCGUGGCGGAAGGACGGGUCGCGCUCCGUUGGUGCGUUCCUUGUCCGCGCCGUUGCUUUCUUUCCAGGUCCAGGUCGCCUCCCUCUGGUCGUUGCUUGUGUAGACCUGCUUUUGUGCUGCCUCCGUCUUUGUGUGAUGAUGAUGAUGGUGAUGCAUGUGCCCCCGCAAGGUGGCGGCAAGCCAAGCCAAGCCGCAUCUGGACUCGAUGCCGGAAGCUGGCUGGCCCUAGGUCCAACUCAGCACAUGUCUUGCUCGUCUUUGUUUAUCUGGACUGGAUGGCUCACUUGUACUUGCAAGGUUAAGGACUAGUGGUUAGCGAUGAAGUAAAUGAAGUGGGUCUUGCGGCCGGUCCCUAACUAGGACGAAGAUGAUGAUGAACGGAACGGAGGCACCACCUGUAGCAUCUGGUUUGAGAACAUCUCACAUCCUAAAUGCGUGACUAUGAAAUAAACCAACUCUAGUUGCACAUCCUUUGACGGCCAUGCGCAAACCGCCCAACUGUGGUUGCACCCGCAAGCCAUGCAACUCAAGAUGCGCAUCUCAUGAAAAAAUAAAUCCUGAACGCGCAUUUCUCCUAUGCCUAGGAACUUAUUUUAGGUGAG